rnacentral:rRNA from 1 species
GACGAACGCUGGCGGCGUGCCUAAUACAUGCAAGUCGAGCGCUGACGCAUGGUACUUUUGCCCACUGGAUGAGCAGCGGACGGGUGAGUAACGCGUGGAGAAUCUGCCUCUGAGCGGGGGACAACAUUGGGAAACGAAUGCUAAUACCGCAUAAAACCUUUAAACAGAAGUUUCAAGUUUGAUAGAUGCAAUUGCAUCACUCAUAGAUGAUCCCGCGAUUGAUUAGCUAGUUGGUGAGGUAAAGGCCCACCAAGGCGACGAUACGUAGCCGGCCUGAGAGGAUGAUGAGCCACACUGGAAGUGAGACACGGUCCAGACUCCUACGGGAGGCAGCAGUGGGGAAUAUUGGACAAUGGGCGCAAGCCUGAUCCAGCCAUACCGCGUGGGUGAAGAAGGCCUUCGGGUUGUAAAGCCCUUUUGUUGGGAAAGAAAAGCAGCAGGUUAAUACCCCGCUGUUCUGACGGUACCCAAAGAAUAAGCACCGGCUAACUUCGUG